AACGAACGCUGGCGGCGUGCUUAACACAUGCAAGUCGAACGAAGUGGCGAACGGGUGAGUAACGCGUAAUCAACCUGCCCUUCAGAGGGGGACAACAGUUGGAAACGACUGCUAAUACCGCAUACUGAAGGAGGGGAUUGCGUCUGAUUAGCUAGUUGGAGGGGUAACGGCCCACCAAGGCGAUGAUCAGUCGCCGGUCUUAGAGUAUGAACUGCCCAAUUGGGACUGAGACACGGCCCAGACUCCUACGGGAGGCAGCAGUUGGGAAUCUUCCGCAAUGGACGAAAAGCUGACGGAGCAACGCCGCGGUAUUGAUGACGGCCUUCGGGUUGGAAAGCUAUGUUAAUCGGGACGCGGUACCGGAAUAGAAAGCCACGGCUAACUACGUGCCAGCCGCCGCGGUAAUUC
rnacentral:rRNA from 1 species